rnacentral:rRNA from 1 species
UACGGAGGGUGCAAGCAUUACUCGGAUUUAUUGGGCGUAAAGGGCGCGUAGGCGGGAACAUAAGUCAGAUGUGAAAUCCCGGGGCUCAACCCCGGAACAGCAUUUGAAACUGUGUUUCUUGAGGGUAGGCGGAGAAAAUGGAAUUCCACAAGUAGCGGUGAAAUGCGUAGAUAUGUGGAAGAACACCAGUGGCGAAGGCGGUUUUCUAGCUUACUCCUGACGCUGAGGCGCGAAAGCAAGGGGAUCAAACAGG